CAGCAGCCACGGGAAUACGAAGGGGGCUAGCGUUGUUCGGAUUUACUGGGCGUAAAGCGCACGUAGGCGGAUUGUUAAGUCAGAGGUGAAAUCCUGGAGCUCAACUCCAGAACUGCCUUUGAUACUGGCAAUCUAGAGUCCGGAAGAGGUAAGUGGAACUCCUAGUGUAGAGGUGGAAUUCGUAGAUAUUAGGAAGAACACCAGUGGCGAAGGCGGCUUACUGGUCCGGUACUGACGCUGAGGUGCGAAAGCGUGGGGAGCAAACAGGAUUAGAUACCCGUGUAGUCCCUGUCUCUUAUAC
rnacentral:rRNA from 1 species